GCCUUCUUAGCUCAGUGGUAGAGCGCAUCACUAGUAAUGAUGAGGUCGUAGGUCCGACUCCUGCAGGAGGCA
rfam:Sistotremastrum niveocremeum HHB9708 unplaced genomic scaffold SISNIscaffold_22, whole genome shotgun sequence.